AAGGUGUCUGCUGAUCAGCUGGAAGCCCUGUAAGACACUUGUUUCCGGUCUUUGACCACGUAUGUACGGGCAUAGAUCGUUGAGACAAUGAAGGAAGAGGUCGGGUUAGCCCGGCCUUUUUUGUU
rnacentral:sRNA from 1 species